UACGGGGGGGGCAAGCGUUGUUCGGAAUUACUGGGCGUAAAGGGCUUGUAGGUGGCCAACUAAGUCAGACGUGAAAUCCCUCGGCUUAACCGGGGAACUGCGUCUGAUACUGGAUGGCUUGAGUGUGGGAGAGGGAUGCGGAAUUCCAGGUGUAGCGGUGAAAUGCGUAGAUAUCUGGAGGAACACCGGUGGCGAAGGCGGCAUCCUGGACCAUUACUGACACUGAGGAGCGAAAGCGUGGGGAGCGAUCCGG
rnacentral:rRNA from 1 species